rnacentral:tRNA from 1 species
CGGGGAGUAGCGCAAUUUGGUUUAGCGCGCAGCGUUCGGGACGCUGAGGUUAUGGGUUCAAAUCCCAUCUCCCCGA